UACGUAGGUGGCAAGCGUUAUCCGGAAUUAUUGGGCGUAAAGCGCGCGCAGGCGGUCCUUUAAGUCUGAUGUGAAAGCCCACGGCUCAACCGUGGAGGGUCAUUGGAAACUGGGGGACUUGAGUGCAGAAGAGGAGAGCGGAAUUCCACGUGUAGCGGUGAAAUGCGUAGAGAUGUGGAGGAACACCAGUGGCGAAGGCGGCUCUCUGGUCUGUAACUGACGCUGAGGCGCGAAAGCCAGGGGAGCGAACGGG
rnacentral:rRNA from 1 species